AGAGUUUGAUCCUGGCUCAGGAUGAACGCUAGCUACAGGCUUAACACAUGCAAGUCGAGGGGAAACGAUAUUGGAAGCUUGCUUCCGAUAGGCGUCGACCGGCGCACGGGUGAGUAACGCGUAUCCAACCUGCCCAUCACUUGGGGAUAACCUUGCGAAAGUAAGACUAAUACCCAAUGAUAUCUCUAGAAGACAUCUGAAGGAGAUUAAAGAUUUAUCGGUGAUGGAUGGGGAUGCGUCUGAUUAGCUUGUUGGCGGGGUAACGGCCCACCAAGGCGACGAUCAGUAGGGGUUCUGAGAGGAAGGUCCCCCACAUUGGAACUGAGACACGGUCCAAACUCCUACGGGAGGCAGCAGUGAGGAAUAUUGGUCAAUGGGCGAGAGCCUGAACCAGCCAAGUAGCGUGCAGGAAGACGGCCCUAUGGGUUGUAAACUGCUUUUAUAAGGGAAUAAAGUGAGUCUCGUGAGACUUUUUGCAUGUACCUUAUGAAUAAGGACCGGCUAAUUCCGUGCCAGCAGCCGCGGUAAUACGGAAGGUCCGGGCGUUAUCCGGAUUUAUUGGGUUUAAAGGGAGCGUAGGCCGGAGAUUAAGCGUGUUGUGAAAUGUAGAUGCUCAACAUCUGCACUGCAGCGCGAACUGGUUUCCUUGAGUACGCACAAAGUGGGCGGAAUUCGUGGUGUAGCGGUGAAAUGCUUAGAUAUCACGAAGAACUCCGAUUGCGAAGGCAGCUCACUGGAGCGCAACUGACGCUGAAGCUCGAAAGUGCGGGUAUCGAACAGGAUUAGAUACCCUGGUAGUCCGCACGGUAAACGAUGGAUGCCCGCUGUUGGUCUGAAUAGGUCAGCGGCCAAGCGAAAGCAUUAAGCAUCCCACCUGGGGAGUACGCCGGCAACGGUGA
rnacentral:rRNA from 1 species